ACCCAACAGCUAGCCCACUAAACUAAAUAAAAUAUUUCAAUAUAAAUAUAUGACAAUUAACUACAAACAAUAAAACAAAUCAUUUUUCCUCCCUAGUAUGGGCGACAGAAAAGGAAACAAGGAGCAACAGAUAAAGUACCGCAAGGGAAAGCUGAAAAAGAAAUGAAAUAACUCUAUUCAAGUCCAAAAAAGCAGAGCUUAAUACUCGUACCUUUUGCAUCAUGAUUAAGCCAGUAAAUUAAAGCAAAGCGUCCUUUAGUUUUAUUUCCCGAAACUAGACGAGCUACUCCGAGACAGCCUAUUAUAGGGCCAACCCGUCUCUGUGGCAAAAGAGUGGGAAGAGCUCCGAGUAGAGGUGAUAAACCUACCGAGUCUAGUUAUAGCUGGUUGCCUAGAAAAUGGAUAAAAGUUCAGCCCCCCGGCUUCCUACCUCAAUAUUUUACUUGUAUUGAUUACGGGAACCCGAGGGAGUUAGUUAAAGAAGGCUCAGCUUCUUUAAACAAAGAUACAACUUUACCAGGAGGCUAAAGAUCAUAAAAUUUAAGGAAUGUUGUUUUAGUGGGCCUAAAAGCAGCCACCUAAACAGAAAGCGUUAAAGCUCAGACAACCCGUCAUCCUAUUAUUUCGAUAAAAAAUCUUACUCCCCUAAACGUACUAGGCCACUUCAUGCCCCCAUGAAAGAGAUCCUGCUUAAAUAAGUAAUAAGAGGGGAAGACCCUCUCCUCGCACAUGUGUAAGUCGAAACGGACCUACCAUCGACAAUUAAUGGCCCCAACCAAAGAGGGCAUUGUACAAAAAACUAAUUAACCAGAAAAAACUACAAAAAUCAACCAUUUACCCCACACAGGAGUGCUAACAAGGAAAGACAAAAAGAAGGGGAAGGAACUCGGCAAACACUAGCCUCGCCUGUUUACCAAAAACAUCGCCUCUUGCAAAAUCAAAGAAUAAGAGGUCCCGCCUGCCCUGUGACUCUUAGUUUAACGGCCGCGGUAUUUUGACCGUGCGAAGGUAGCGCAAUCACUUGUCCUUUAAAUGAGGACCUGUAUGAAUGGCAUAACGAGGGCUAAACUGUCUCCCCCCUCCAGUCAAUGAAAUUGAUCUCCCCGUGCAGAAGCGGGGAUAACCCCAUAAGACGAGAAGACCCUAUGGAGCUUUAGACAUCAAAUAGCCCAUAACAAACAACUCUAAUCAACGAGUACUAAUGCAUAUGAGCCCUCUAUUGUUAUGUCUUUGGUUGGGGCGACCGUGGGGUAAAGAAAAACCCCCAUGAGGACCGGGGAAAUUUCCCCAAAACCAAGAGCCACAGCUCUAAGUAUCAGAACCUCUGACCUAAAUGAUCCGGUUAACACCGAUCAACGGACCGAGUUACCCUAGGGAUAACAGCGCAAUCCCCUCCCAGAGCCCCUAUCGACGAGAGGGUUUACGACCUCGAUGUUGGAUCAGGACAUCCUAAUGGUGCAGCCGCUAUUAAGGGUUCGUUUGUUCAACGAUUAAAGUCCUACGUGAUCUGAGUUCAGACCGGAGUAAUCCAGGUCAGUUUCUAUCUAUGGUAUUGAUCUUUUCUAGUACGAAAGGACCGAAAAGAAAAGGCCCAUGCUCCUAGUAUGCCUUACCCCCACCUGAAGAAACCAACUAAAACAAGCAAGAGGGCACACCCUUCUAGCUUGCCAAAGAUAAUGGCAU
rnacentral:rRNA from 1 species